rnacentral:RNase_P_RNA from 1 species
CCAGACAAUUGAUUAGUCGCUUUUGUUUAUAAAGACAAGAGAGGAAAGUCCGGACUCUAUAAGAACACGGUGCCAGAUAACAUCUGGCGGGGGAAACCCCAGGGAUAGUGCCACAGAAAAUAUACCGCCUAAUCAAGGCAAGGGUGAAAAGGUGCGGUAAGAGCGCACCGGUUUUUUGGUAACAAAAAAUGCAUGGAAAACCCCACCGGGAGCAAGACCAAAUAGAGAUGGCGGGGUCUAAUUUUUUAUUUAGGCCAAAAACAGUUCUUAGUU